AGAAAAGUAAGCUAAUAAAGCUAAUGGGUUCAUACCCCAUCUAUAGAGUUAAACUCUCUUCUCUA
rnacentral:tRNA from 1 species